rnacentral:rRNA from 1 species
GUAAUAGCGUAGCGAAAGUGCCUCUGAGAGGGGGACUCGUUACGAAAGGGACGAUAUUACCGCAUACGCCCUGUGGGGAUGAGAGGGGGAGCUUCGGACCUCGUGCGAUAAGAGAGCGCUAGAUAUGAUUAUAUAUAUGGGGGGGGAAAGGCCCACCUAGGGGACGAUCUGUAGCGGUGCUGAGAGGAUGAUCCCCCACACUGUGACUGAGACACGGGCCACACUCCUACGGGAGGGAGCAGUGGGGAAUAUUGGACAAUGGGCGAAAGCCUGAUCCACCCAUGCCGCGUGUGUGAAAAAAGCCUUCUGGUUGUAAAGAACUUUUUUGUGGGAGGAGAAUACUGUGGGUAUUACCCCCGGAUCUUGUGAGUACCUCUGAAAAAAACACCCCGUAAAUCUACGGCCCCAGCCCCGGGAAUAUACGAGGGGCGAGCGUUAAUCGGAAUAUCUGGGCGUAAAGCGCGCGCGCAGGGGGUUGAUAUAAGUCUGAUGAAAUAUCCCGGGCUCUCAACUCUGGAAAUCUGCAUUGGAAGACUGAAACUAUAGAGUGUGAGAGAGGGGGGAAAAUUCCAGGGUGUAGCAGUGAAAUGCGUAGAUAUGUGAAGAAAUACCGAUGGCGAAGGCAGCCCCCUGGAUAUACACACUGACGUCUCAUGCACGAAAGCGUGGGAGAGCAACACAGAUAUUAUAUACCCCUGUAUAGUCCACGCCCCAUAAAACGUAUGUCAUUCUAGUUCGUUGG